CAGUUUACAUUUUUAUAACUAGCUACAAAAAUUUGUUUGUUAAUAAUUUGUGCAAUUUUUGACCAAGCAAAAUUUUGAUUUUUGAGUUUUUGCGAUUUAGCGAAAAAUUUCUCUUGGUGGAAGUUGGCGUGGCCAUUGCAAAGUGAUUCAGCUCCAUUCAGGGAAUCUGGGGAUGCAAGGUUUUUGAAUGUGCGACAUACGGUGUAGAAGUUAUAGGCAAAGUCGAGUUGGCCUAGGUUAUAGCACCCCCUGCAGGCGGAUAUAUGUAGUUUUUUGUGUCUGAGAUAUUUGCAGGAGUCUGGACCAACCCUCCCAAUUGCACCGCCCUCUCAGGUUCCCUGCUUGGGUCCUAACAAUAAUCCUUAGGAAAACAAUAGGGACCUCAGAGGUCUGAGACCUGCUUGGGCCCUAAAAACAGACAAAAACAACAAAACACAAAAUAGCACAGAAACAAACUAACAACACAAACACUGAAUUUCUAAAUAAAUAAAUGAAAAGAAAAAAUGUGGGAGGGGGAUUCAUUAUAUCAGUGAAUGUUAAUGCUUAGUCUUAAUUUACUCCAAUACUUAUUAUUGCUUGCUGGUAAUUACCAAAAUAAAUACUAUAGGGUGACCACUGUUUAACAAAAUCCUCUAGGGUUGCUUGCAGUACAUGAGAUAACCAUUCAUGUGGAAGAAAUGAUAGUAGUUUAUCAUACGAUAUAGAUAUUGUAGGAGGAUGUACAUCAAACCAAACCUGUGGAAUCGAAAGGCGUGCGGCAUCCAACAUGAUAUUUAACAAGGUUACAAGCUGCUCUUAAGCUUGACUUAAACUAAGAUGGGAACGAGUUAAGAGAUGUUGAUUUGCACAAAUCAUAAGAGAAACAAUAAUUGAUAACUACAAUAACUACCUGCUUGAUUUCAUGCAUAUAUCUUGUACUUAAAUUAAACUAAUUUUUUAAAAAGUUUUGUGGAAAUACACUGCUGUUUCGUCCCAAUCCCUUGAGUUCUCCUCACAUUCUUUCACUAUUAAACCUAGUCGUGAGUUUGGCUGUUGAUUUUUAUGACUUGAUUUCACCAAUCGUUUAAGUGAUCUCCAAUUAUGACUUCUUUUGGCCAGGCAGUGCACAGAGGAACUGUAGUUUUUGAUUUUGCAUUUCCAGUAACUAAGGAUAAACAUGCAAGUAUAAUGAUGUUAAGCACAGUAUUGAAGGUAAUAAAGAUGAAAAACAGCAGUUGUCUUUCUCAGGUCAUGUUCAGAUUGCCCAGGUUCCAUGCAGGAAUGAGCCUAACAGUGCUGGAGAGCUCAACUACAGGUAUCUGUUCAACACAUUGGAAAACCAUGGCUACCAGGGAUACAUCGGCUGUGAAUACAAGCCGUUAGGCUCCACAAAGGAAGGUCUGGAUUGGCUCAAAGAUUACUGCACACACAGCAAGUGAUGAGCGAUGUGUUCAUUCAUAAAGCUGUGAACAUAUUUCAAGUGAUUACACCUGGGAGGUGUAACUACAACUUAUCUAAUUCCAUAUUUGUUAUAGUAUAAAAUAAGAAUAACAAGAAGAAUUAGAAGAAGACGAAGAAUCAUAUUUAUACAUUACAUUUCCAAUUUUCCAAUUUAAGUAUGAUGUAGGUACAUUUCAUACUGUAUAAUUUAAUGUAUGAAAAAUGGUUUAAUGGCAGUUGGUUCUUUUAUCAAUUAAGAGAUUACUGACAACUUUCUUAUUGUUUUUUGCAUCUUUAACUGUGAACCGGUUCAUUUUUAAGUGUACUGAUGACUGAUUUUAUUACAUAACCAAUUUACUAUGUACAGAUAAUUUAUUACAGCAAAAAAUACAUUGUGAUAAUUAUACUAAAAUGUCCUCAUCAUUAAUCUUCAUUUGUUAACAUUCUGUCAUUGACCAUAAAAUACAUCUGCAUUUCUCCAAUGUU